CUUGGGAGCACUACAUCCAUGCCAUCGAUAGACCGGACCGGGAAGGCAGGUGCUUUGCGAGCAAGGCAGAGCGGGUGUUGCAGGAACUGUGGGAUUUCUACAGGUGCGAGGAGGGAAUGAUGACCGUGGCACGCGAGGUGGCAAACACGGCCUGUCACAAGCUGGUGGCGGAUAUGCUCUACGAGGCGCGCAUCCAGGCCAACUGUGAUUACAAACGUCGCAUCGAAAAAGUGAAGACCAACAAAGGGGCUGUGCGAAACCUUAGGCUAACUCGGGAACAAUAUAUGAGGGUGAUUCCUUGGUGGUUAGCCGCGAAUGAACAGUGCUGGGACAUGAUAAUCGACAGGUGGUAUGCGAAAGGUUGGGUGGA